rnacentral:rRNA from 1 species
UACAGGGGGUGCGAGCGUUGUCCGGAAUCACUGGGCGUAAAGGGCGCGUAGGUGGCGACCCAAGUCCGUGGUGAAAGCUCGUCGCUUAACGACGAGUCGGCCACGGAGACUGGGUGGCUCGAGCACUGUAGGGGCAGAUGGAAUUCCGGGUGUAGCGGUGGAAUGCGUAGAGAUCCGGAAGAACACCGGUGGCGAAGGCGGUCUGCUGGGCAGUUGCUGACACUGAGGCGCGACAGCGUGGGGAGCAAACAGG